AGAGUUUGAUUCUGGCUCAGAACGAACGCUGGCAGCGUGGAUUAGGCAUGCAAGUCGAACGGGAAGCUGUAUUUUCAAUCUUCGGAGAGAAUUUGCAGUAGAGAGUGGCGAAAGGGUGAGUAACGCGUGGGUAACCUACCUCUUAGUUGGGGAUAACGGCUGGAAACGGCCGCUAAUACCGGAUGUGGUCACAGUUGUAUCAACGUCUGUGAUUAAAGAUGGGGAUUCUUCGGAACCUAUCACUAGGAGAGGGGCCCGCGUACCAUCAGCUUGUUGGUGAGGUAACGGCUCACCAAGGCUUACGGUUAGCUGGUCUGAGAGGAUGGUCAGCCACACUGGGACUGAGACACUGCCCAGACUCCUACGGGAGGCUGCAGUCGAGGAUCAUUCGCAAUGCGCGAAAGCGUGACGAUGCGACGCUGCGUGUAGGAUGACGGCCCUAGGGUUGUAAACUACUGUCAUGAGGGAAGAACCAGCGGUGUGUAAAUAAUGCACCGCUCUGACGGUACCUCAAGAGGAAGCCACGGCUAACUCUGUGCCAGCAGCCGCGGUAAUACAGAGGUGGCGAGCGUUGUUCGGAUUUACUGGGCGUAAAGCGUACGUAGGCGGUUUGGUAUGUCGGAUGUGAAAGCCCAUGGCUCAACUGUGGAACUGCAUCCGAAACUACCAUGACUAGAGUGCAGGAGGGGAGAGUGGAAUUCUUGGUGUAGCGGUGAAAUGCGUUGAUAUCAAGAGGAACACCGGUGGCGAAGGCGACUCUCUGGAAUGUAACUGACGCUGAGGUACGAAAGCGUGGGGAGCAAACAGGAUUAGAUACCCUGGUAGUCCACGCCGUAAACGUUGCGGACUUGGUGUUGGAGGUAUUGACCCCUUCAGUGCCGGAGCUAACGCGUUAAGUCCGCCGCCUGGGGAGUACGGCCGCAAGGCUAAAACUCAAAGAAAUUGACGGGGGCCCGCACAAGCGGAGGAGCAUGUGGCUUAAUUCGAUGCAACGCGAAGAACCUUACCAGGGCUUGACAUCUAGCUGCACGCCUCCCGAAAGGGAGGAAGCCUUCGAGGGUGCUAGACAGGUGCUGCAUGGCUGUCGUCAGUUCGUGCCGUGAGGUGUUGGGUUAAGUCCCGCAACGAACGCAACCCUUGUGUUUAGUUGCCACCGGUGACGUUAAGUUGCCGAGCACUCUAAACAGACUGCCUGUACAAGCAGGAGGAAGGUGGGGACGACGUCAAGUCAGUAUGGCCCUUACGCCCUGGGCUGCACACGUGCUACAAUGGCUGGUACAAUGGGCUGCAAUACCGCGAGGUGGAGCUAAUCCCCAAAAACCAGCCCCAGUUCGGAUUGGAGUCUGAAACUCGACUCCAUGAAGUUGAAUUCGCUAGUAACGCCGCAUCAGCUACGGCGGCGUGAAUACGUUCCCGGGCCUUGUACACACCGCCCGUCACAUCAUGAAAGCCGUCUGCACCCGUAGUCGCUGAGCCAACCCGCAAGGGAGGCAGGUGCCGAAGGUGUGGGUGGUGAUUGGGAUGAAGUCGAAACAAGGUA
rnacentral:rRNA from 1 species